UACGAAGGGGGCUAGCGUUGUUCGGAAUCACUGGGCGUAAAGGGCGCGUAGGCGGCCGAUCAAGUCGGGGGUGAAAGCCUGUGGCUCAACCACAGAAUUGCCUUCGAUACUGUUUGGCUUGAGACCGGAAGAGGUUAGUGGAACUGCGAGUGUAGAGGUGAAAUUCGUAGAUAUUGGGAAGAACACCGAUGGCGAAGGCAGCCAUCUGGACCGACACUGACGCUGAGGCGCGAAAGCGUGGGGAGCAAACAGG
rnacentral:rRNA from 1 species